CCUACGGGGGGCAGCAGUGAGGAAUAUUGGUCAAUGGGCGGGAGCCUGAACCAGCCAAGCCGCGUGAAGGAAGAAGGCGCCAGGCGUCGUAAACUUCUUUUGUCGGGGAACAAAGGGCGCCACGCGUGGCUUUGUGCGUGUACCCUACGAACAAGCAUCGCCAAACUCCGUCCCCGCAGCAGCGGUAAUACGGAGGAUGCGAGCGUUAUCGGAUUUGAUUGGGGGUAAGGGGUGCGUCGGGGGGCCGGAUAGCACGCGGGAAAAUCCCGGGGUCAAACCACGGCGCGCAGUUGAAACUGUCGGACUGGAGAGGGGGAGAGGCAAGCGGAAUGCGCGGUGUAGCGGUGAAAUGCGUAGAGAUAGCGCAGAACUCCGGUUGCGAAGGCAGCGUACUGGAGCGGAACUGACGCUGAGGCACGAAAGCGUGGGUAUCGAACAGGAUUAGAUACCCUGGUAGUC
rnacentral:rRNA from 1 species